ACAUAGCCCCGAUAGAAGCGGCAUCCUUUUUUGCUUUUUCUGCAAAAAAGAUAUAGCGGAUAGCGGGACUGAAG
rnacentral:sRNA from 2 species